UCCGGGGCGACACACGUGUUACAAUGGUAGGUACAGAGGGGCGCUAUCCAGUGAUGGAGUGCGAAUCUCAAAAACCUAUCUCAGUUCGGAUUGGAGUCUGCAACUCGACUCCAUGAAGUUGGAUUCGCUAGUAAUCGCGCAUCCAGCCAUGGCGCGGUGAAUACGUUCCCGGGCCUU
rnacentral:rRNA from 1 species